UACGUAGGGGGCUAGCGUUGUCCGGAUUUAUUGGGCGUAAAGAGCGUGUAGGCGGCUUUGCAAGUCCGUUGUGAAAACUCGAGGCUCAACCUCGAGACGCCGGUGGAAACUGCAAAGCUAGAGUCCGGAAGAGGAGAGUGGAAUUCCUGGUGUAGCGGUGAAAUGCGCAGAUAUCAGGAAGAACACCCGUGGCGAAGGCGGCUCUCUGGGACGGUACUGACGCUGAACAGCGAAAGCUAGGGGAGCAAACGGG
rnacentral:rRNA from 1 species